CAGCAGCCGCGGGAAUACGUAGGGUGCAAGCGUUGUCCGGAAUUAUUGGGCGUAAAGAGCUCGUAGGCGGUUUGUCGCGUCUGCUGUGAAAUCUGGGGGCUCAACCCCCAGCCUGCAGUGGGUACGGGCAGACUAGAGUGCGGUAGGGGAGAUUGGAAUUCCUGGUGUAGCGGUGGAAUGCGCAGAUAUCAGGAGGAACACCGAUGGCGAAGGCAGAUCUCUGGGCCGUAACUGACGCUGAGGAGCGAAAGCAUGGGGAGCGAACAGGAUUAGAUACCCCAGUAGUCCCUGUCUCUUAUAA
rnacentral:rRNA from 1 species